rnacentral:rRNA from 1 species
UACGGGGGGGGCAAGCGUUGUUCGGAAUUACUGGGCGUAAAGGGCUCGUAGGCGGCCAACUAAGUCGGAUGUGAAAUCCCCAGGCUCAACCUGGGAACUGCAUCCGAUACUGGAUGGCUUGAAUUCGGGAGAGGGAUGCAGAAUUCCUGGUGUAGCGGUGAAAUGCGCAGAUAUCAGGAGGAACACCAAUUGCGAAGGCAGCUCGCUGGGACGUUACUGACGCUGAGACGCGAAAGCGUGGGGAGCAAACAGG